rnacentral:tRNA from 1 species
GACCGCGUAGCUCAGUUGGACAAGCAUUGGGCUAGUAUUCCAAAGGUCGUAGGUUCGAAUCCCACCGUGGCCG